rnacentral:rRNA from 1 species
UGGGGAAUAUUGCACAAUGGGCGGAAGCCUGAUGCAGCAACGCCGCGUGAGGGAUGACGGCCUUCGGGUUGUAAACCUCUUUUAGCAAGGAAGAAGCUUUUGUGACGGUACUUGCAGAAAAAGCGCCGGCUAACUACGUGCCAGCAGCCGCGGUAAUACGUAGGGCGCAAGCGUUAUCCGGAAUUAUUGGGCGUAAAGAGCUCGUAGGCGGUUUGUCGCGUCUGCUGUGAAAUCCCGAGGCUCAACCUCGGGCCUACAGUGGGUACGGGCAGACUAGAGUGCGGUAGGGGAGAUUGGAAUUCCUGGUGUAGCGGUGGAAUGCGCAGAUAUCAGGAGGAACACCGAUGGCGAAGGCAGAUCCCUGGGCCGUAACUGACGCUGAGGAGCGAAAGGGUGGGGAGCAAACAGGCUUAGAUACCCUGGUAGUCCACCCCGUAAACGUUGGGAACUAGUUGUGGGGUCCUUUCCACGGAUUCCGUGACGCAGCUAACGCAUUAAGUUCCCCGCCUGGGGAGUACGGCCGCAAGGCUA